CUGGGCGUAAGGGUGCGUAGGCGGAUAUUUAAGUCAGAUGUGAAAACCCCGGGCUUAACUUGGGGACUGCAUUUGAAACUGGAUAUCUAGAGUGCAGGAGAGGAAAGCGGAAUUCCUAGUGUAGCGGUGAAAUGCGUAGAGAUUAGGAAGAACACCAGUGGCGAAGGCGGCUUUCUGGACUGUAACUGACGCUGAGGCACGAAAGCGUGGGUAGCAAACAGGAUUAGAUACCCUGGUAGUCCACGCCGUAAACGAUGAGUACUAGGUGUAGGAGGUAUCGACCCCUUCUGUGCCGCAGUAAACACAAUAAGUACUCCGCCUGGGAAGUACGAUCGCAAGAUUAAAACUCAAAGGAAUUGACGGGGGCCCGCACAAGCAGCGGAGCAUGUGGUUUAAUUCGAAGCAACGCGAAGAACCUUACCUGGACUUGACAUCCCCUGAAUAACCUAGAGAUAGGCGAAGCCCUUCGGGGCAGGGAGACAGGUGGUGCAUGGUUGUCGUCAGCUCGUGUCGUGAGAUGUUAGGUUAAGUCCUGCAACGAGCGCAACCCCUAUUGUUAGUUGCUAACAUUAAGUUGAGCACUCUAAUAAGACUGCCCGGGUUAACCGGGAGGAAGGUGGGGAUGACGUC
rnacentral:rRNA from 1 species